AGGAGAGCGUGUAGGCCGUGUACCUUCAGCGUACCGAGUGGGAGCGGGACACACUAUUAGAGAGCGAUAUUUCCCGAAUAGGCUAAGCCCAACGCAACGUUUACGUGCAUCCGGUGGAUUCGUACGUAACUUCGGCGAUCAGUUUCCCAGGCUCGAGUCUGAGAAAUUUUAGUGACUCGAUCACAUUCUCCUAACCCGUGGAACGAUUCGGAAGUGCAGUGAAUUUGCUGGAGUUGUAACAAGCUAGGCCGAUAGAAAAGUAGUGCGAUAGAUAGCUAGCUUUUGUGACCUUUGUGCGAGAACCUGCGAAGAAAGGCAGCGUGGUCACAAGUUUACUUGUCUCCGGCGGCUUCC